CCUACGGGCGACAGCAGUCGAGAAUCAUUCACAAUGGGGGAAACCCUGAUGGUGCGACGCCGCGUGGGGGAAUGAAGGUCUUCGGAUUGUAAACCCCUGUCAUGUGGGAGCAAAUUAAAAAGAUCGUACCACAAGAGGCAGAGACGGCUAACUCUGUGCCAGCAGCCGCGGUAAGACAGAGGUCUCAAGCGUUGUUCGGAAUCACUGGGCGUAAAGCGUGCGGAGGCUGUUUCGUAAGUCGUGUUUGAAAGGCGCGGGCUCAACCCGCGGACGGCACAUGAUACUGCGAGACUAGGGUAAGGGAGGGGGAACCGGAAUUCUCGGUGUAGCAGUGAAAUGCGUAGAUAUCGAGAGGAACACUCGUGGCGCGGGCGGGUUCCUGGACAUUAACUGACGCUGAGGCACGAAGGCCAGGGGAGCGAAAGGGAUUAGAUACCCGAGUAGUC
rnacentral:rRNA from 1 species